GCAGUCACCUCGGCUGCCUGGAGCAGAGGACAGAAGAGAAAGCUCCCGAGGGGGCUCCGCUGUCUUCUCCAGGAGUGACAACGCUGCUUUCUCAGUUGAACCCCGCCCCCUCCUCUGCGAUCCGCUGCGGGCUGCAGGGAGCAUCGCUUAUCCUUUGGAGCCCUCUGCCAGGAAGAGCCCGUUGCGUGCGGCCCCUGGUGCCUGGCCAUUCCCGUGCAGGCUGGAUUCUCCAGAGGUGAUCACGCUCUCCUUAGUGGAUUCUGACUUCCUUUCUGACGAGCCUGGGCAGUACUACAGCUCGUGACCACUGACUGAAAAUGCCCGGGCAGGCUCAUUCCACACCGGGCUUCUCGCCAACAAGAGCUUACCCAGUUAGUACCUUUGCUAUCCUAAGAAACCAUUGCCUACAAGGAUCUUCUCCUAUUUUACCAUCUAAAAACAAUGUUUGGGGGACUUCCUUGGUGGUCCAGUGGUUAGGACUCCACGCUUCCACUGCAGAGGGCAAGGGUUCGACUCCUAGUCAGGCGUUCAGGCAUCAGGAUCGAUGAUGAACUUUCAAAAAGGAAAAGGAUGGAAAAUCAUCGAACUUACCAUGAACUGUGCUCCCUUAAGUGUUUCCUCAUAGCAUGUGCAGAGUCAAGGGAAAUUAUAUUCCUGUAUUAUUUAGUCUACCAACAACCUAUUUACCUACGGUCUUAAUCUGGGUUAUUCUUGAAAGUAGAGCCUGAGACAAAGGUAGACACAUUCUAUUUUGGGAAUGUGAUCCCAGGGAACAGGAAGGAGACAGAGGGGAGUGAACAGGCGGAAAAGGGAAAGUCCAAGCAAAACAAGGUAGUGUUAUUGAGUGGCCCACUAGUGUUCAUGGCUACUUAGUGCAGAACCUUCCCAUGAUUCUUAACAAACUUUGGCUCAGAACAGUCUGCCUGAGGGACGAAAAGAAGAAGGAUUUAUGUCUCAUUAGCUAUCACCUGUGUGCUGAGGGCUGCUCACAUGGGGCAUUAACUCCCCCAUGAGGAGACCCUCACUGGUACUACAGCAUCACAUGUGCUGCAACAGAGAAGCUUUGGGACAGGAAGCUAGAUUCUUGACGCAAGCCUGAGAUGAGGCACCGUCAGCACAGAGCGGGAUGAAACCUGCCCAGAGCUGUUCACCAAAGCUGCGGCUGGAAUCGGAGGUGGAAGAGAUGGGAGACAGUGCACAGGAGGCAUCUCAGAAGCCUAGAGAAUGCGUUGUUAGCCUUGUCUAAAUCCAUAUUCUCUCUUCUUUCUAUCAUCAAAAUUUCACUGUCCAGAACAAGGUUGGCAGAAGGGUUAAAUAGGAAGGUUAAAUGUACUUCCUAGAAGCUGUAUGUUAACAGUUUUAACCUGAGUGACACUUAUAAGAAAUAGGAAGUGACCCUAGAACUUGGAAAAUUUUUAAAUUAUUCUACUUGAAACAUUUUACCAUUGGGUAGCAAUAUUAGAUAUCUUCUAAACUCAUGUAACCUCAGAAGUAAUCAUGAAUUGUUUGGAGAAAUAAAAUUAACCAUUUCUUAUAUUUCUAUGAGCUUUAU
ensembl:lncRNA